GGACGAACGCUGGCGGCGUGCUUAACACAUGCAAGUCGAACGGAAAGGCCCUGCUUUUGUGGGGUGCUCGAGUGGCGAACGGGUGAGUAACACGUGAGUAACCUGCCCUUGACUUUGGGAUAACUUCAGGAAACUGGGGCUAAUACCGGAUAGGAGCUCCUGCUGCAUGGUGGGGGUUGGAAAGUUUCGGCGGUUGGGGAUGGACUCGCGGCUUAUCAGCUUGUUGGUGGGGUAGUGGCUUACCAAGGCUUUGACGGGUAGCCGGCCUGAGAGGGUGACCGGCCACAUUGGGACUGAGAUACGGCCCAGACUCCUACGGGAGGCAGCAGUGGGGAAUAUUGCACAAUGGGCGGAAGCCUGAUGCAGCAACGCCGCGUGCGGGAUGACGGCCUUCGGGUUGUAAACCGCUUUCGCCUGUGACGAAGCGUGAGUGACAGUAAUGGGUAAAGAAGCACCGGCUAACUACGUG
rnacentral:rRNA from 1 species